rnacentral:misc_RNA from 1 species
AUGUUCGAAGUCGGUACUAACA